UAACGUAUAUACCAAGAAAACACGGAUAAGUAAGCCUCCGUUAAUCGCAACUUCUGCCUAAUGCUUAUUAAAACGUUUUGUGUAUAUACAGUGCGCGCAACGCAAGAAGUUUAAAUUCCAUGAAGUUUAAUCAUUCCAAGCCGGAAUGUUGUACCUUUUUUUCCUGGUUCGCACAUACAAAGGAAAAAGAACAAGAAAAAGAAAAAUGAUACAAUGUUCCUUUAUAGAUGAAAGAAACCGAAACGCUGGGUUGGGGUCUCCUGUUUUUCUGCCGAGGAGCAAAGAGCUAAGAGAAGCGAAUUCGCUAACAAUACCUGCGAAGCGUCAGACGAAACCGCGAACAGCAGCGCCUCGGGAAGAACGAGCACAUAAAGGCAGACGCAGACGCAAGUUUCUACACGGGAAAUACAAGGGUCUGUCAGGGGACAAUGGCUUCGGCUGCAUCUGUAGUCUCAACAAUGUCUCGCGCUCUUUUCUUUAGUUUUUAACUUUCUGAGGCCGCGAGCCUCCAUCUUGCAUUAUUUCGCUGAUAAACAUGACGUGCGUCAUUAGAAGCCUAUGCGCGAUGUUGCAAGUUCGCAGAGCAUAAAAACGGCACCUGCUGAGCGCUGUUUGCUAUGAAGUUUUGACGCAGUAAUAUCGUAUGGCGCGCCUAUAGAACGACCUUUAUUGUUGCAGAACAGCAGCGUGAAGACGGGGGAUCCGGCGAAGCUGAAGUACACCGUACAGCUGUGUCCUGAAUGUCUGGUCUUCUCGCUGUCGCUUUGUCAUAGUAACAGUCAUUCCAGGCCCACUAUAGGUGGUAUUCCUGCGUCAAAACGUACACGUGGGAGCGAGAAUGCAGGAUAUACAGGACACAGCCGUCCGGUGUCAUUAAGCUGUGUCCCGUCUUCGCGUUGUUGGUUCGCCAUGACGCGCGUACAUUGACCUUUAGGACACAAGGUUUCAUCCUUUGUUUUGUAUUGCUGUGACAUGAAAAUUGACAUCCUGGUUCCGGAUUGCGCCUGCGUAAUACCGUGCGGCGCAGAAGAUGAAAACUGACCCGGAUAUUCACCAAUUGGCAUUACGAAACCCCUUUAAUUAACGAUGCGAACAUGGUGUAUAAGUGUCCAUGAAGCGGUGCAUCUCCCCACUGUUCUUCUAGCUCGCGCUCUCCAUCCUCGGAGAGAGGGGAAGAACAAACAACGAAAAAACGAGAUAACAAACAACAUCCAAAAACAAACGAGUGUCCACGGUUUCAUACGCCAUCGCGAACCUUUUGUUGCUUUUGGAGCAACAAAGGAACGAGGCAUUUCCUCCUAACGCGUCAAGAACAAAAAAGUACUACAAAAGGCGCGGAAUCGCAAGUGCUCCGGAAAUAACUGCGACUCUCCCGUCUCCCACGGUCGAAGAGACACGUGGCAGAGGGCAAGCGGAUCUUCGUUGCGUGGUUGCGUUCCCUUUCUCACAGAGCCAUGUCCGUGCACAACCAUCGCCUCUCGCAGGAGGAUGCCGCGAAGGACCCUUACAUCCCGGCUUUCGCUUGGCGACAGCCACGCACGCCAUGUUCUCACUAAAUAUCGGUGCAGCGUUACAAGAAGCUUAAAGCUGAACUAGUUGGUACACCUCGCUGGAAUACACGAAAUUUAAAGUGUACAUCAUGACAUGGGACGAGCCAUAA